rnacentral:rRNA from 1 species
AUUGAACGCUGGCGGCAUGCUUUACACAUGCAAGUCGAACGGUAACAGGCCGCAAGGUGCUGACGAGUGGCGAACGGGUGAGUAAUGCAUCGGAACGUGCACAGUCGUGGGGGAUAACUACUCGAAAGAGUAGCUAAUACCGCAUACGAUCUAUGGAUGAAAGCGGGGGACCGUAAGGCCUCGCGCGAUUGGAGCGGCCGAUGUCAGAUUAGGUAGUUGGUGGGGUAAAGGCUCACCAAGCCAACGAUCUGUAGCUGGUCUGAGAGGACGACCAGCCACAGGGGGAAGAGGACACGGGCCAGAAUCCGACGGGGGGCAGAAGUGGGGAAUUUUGGAGAAAGGGGGCAAGGCUGGUCCAGGGAUGCCGCGUGAAGGAAGAAAGCCGUAGGGGUGGAAACUGGUUUUGUAAGGAAGGGAAGGGCCCUGGUUAAAACCCGGGGCAAAGGGGGGGCCCGUAAGAAAAAGACCCGGCCAACUACG